rnacentral:rRNA from 1 species
UGGGGAAUUUUGGACAAUGGGCGAAAGCCUGAUCCAGCAAUGCCGCGUGUGUGAAGAAGGCCUUCGGGUUGUAAAGCACUUUUGUCCGGAAAGAAAUCCUUGGCUCUAAUACAGUCGGGGGAUGACGGUACCGGAAGAAUAAGCACCGGCUAACUACGUGCCAGCAGCCGCGGUAAUACGUAGGGUGCAAGCGUUAAUCGGAAUUACUGGGCGUAAAGCGUGCGCAGGCGGUUUGCUAAGACCGAUGUGAAAUCCCCGGGCUCAACCUGGGAACUGCAUUGGUGACUGGCAGGCUAGAGUAUGGCAGAGGGGGGUAGAAUUCCACGUGUAGCAGUGAAAUGCGUAGAGAUGUGGAGGAAUACCGAUGGCGAAGGCAGCCCCCUGGGCCAAUACUGACGCUCAUGCACGAAAGCGUGGGGAGCAAAACAGGAUUAGAUACCCUGGUAGUCCACGCCCUAAAACGAUGUCAACUAGUUGUCGGGGAUUCAUUUCCUUAGUAACGUAGCUAACGCGUGAAGUUGACCGCCUGGGGAGUACGGUCGCAAGAUUAAAACUUAAAUGAAUUGACGGGGUCAUAGCUGUUUCCU